rnacentral:rRNA from 1 species
GACUCCGUGAAGCUGGAUUCGCUAGUAAUCGCGCAUCAGCCAUGGCGCGGUGAAUACGUUCCCGGGCCUUGUACACACCGCCCGUCAAGCCAUGGGAGCCGGGGGGUGCUUGAAGUGCGUCGCCGCAAGGCGCGCCCUAGAGCAAAACCGGUGACUGGGGCUAAGUCGUAACAAGGUAAC